UAGUACGGCGAGUGAGCGGGAAGAGCUCAAGCUUAAAAUCUCCGUGCAAGUUUUGCGCGGCGAAUUGUAGUCUAUAGAGGCGUGGUCAGCGUGGGCGCUUGGGGCAAGUUCCUUGGAAGAGGACAGCAUGGAGGGUGAUACUCCCGUUCAUCCCUGAGUGGCUCGUGCGUACGACCCGUGUUCUUUGAGUCGCGUUGUUUGGGAAUGCAGCGCAAAGUAGGUGGUAAAUUCCAUCUAAAGCUAAAUAUUGGUGCGAGACCGAUAGCGAACAAGUACCGUGAGGGAAAGAUGAAAAGAACUUUGAAAAGAGAGUUAAAGAGUACCUGAAACUGCUGAAAGGGAACCGAAUCGUUUCCAGUGUCUAUAAUCCGUGGCAUAUUUCAUUGGCGAGUGUGUGCGUGCGUGUGCUGUGGCAGUGGCUUUUUUGGCUGCGCUCGGUGUGUGUGCUGUGUGUGCUUGCUGGUGCCCUGUGCUGCGGUGGGACGUCAAGGUCAGUUCGUAUGCUGCGGGAAAUGGCUGCCGAGGAGGUAGGGCUUACGCUCCGCGUUUGUCUGUUAUAUCUUGGUGGACGAGUCGUCGCGGUUGGGACUGAGGUGCCUACAACGUGCUUUUGAGUGGGUUUGUGUCUCCGUGUGCGCCGUGUGCGGAUAGCUUGCUAUGCGUGUGUGGUUGUGUGUGGAUUGAUGCGGGCUUUAACUUGUCGCCGUUC
rnacentral:rRNA from 1 species